AACGAACGCCAGCGGCGUGGAUUAGGCAUGCAAGUCGAACGUGAUCCGUAGCAAUACGGUGAAAGUGGCGGAAGGGUGAGUAAUGCAUAGAUAACGCACCCCCGAGUCUGGGAUAACUCCGGGAAACCGGAGCUAAGACUGGAUGGGGUCAGCGGGUCGCAUGGCCUGUUGACUAAAGGUAGCCUCUGAAUAUGCCUCCGCUCGGGGAACGAUCUAUGUCCUAUCAGCUAGUUGGUGAGGGUAACGGCCCACCAAGGCAUUGACGGGUAGCCGGCCUUAGCGGGUGUCCGGCCACAUUGGGACUGAGACACUGCCCAAACUCCUACGGGAGGCUGCAGUCGAGGAUCUUCCGCAAUGGGCGAAAGCCUGACGGAGCGACGCCGCGUGUGGGAUGAAGGCCUUCGGGUUGUAAACCACUGUCACUCGUUAUGAAAGGGCCCGGUGUUAACAGCAUCGGGAACUGACAAAGGCGAGAGAGGAAGCCACGGCUAACUUCGUGCCAGCAGCCGCGGUAAGACGAAGGUGGCGAGCGUUGUUCGGAAUCACUGGGCAUAAAGCGCACGUAGGCGGCGAUGUAAGUCGGGUGUGAAAUCCCUCGGCCCAACCGAGGAACUGCGCCCGAAACUGCAU
rnacentral:rRNA from 1 species